rnacentral:rRNA from 1 species
GACGAACGCUGGCGGCGUGCUUAACACAUGCAAGUCGAACGAAGUGGCGAACGGGUGAGUAACGUGUAAUCAACCUGCCCUUCAGAGGGGGACAACAGUUGGAAACGACUGCUAAUACCGCAUACUGAAGGAGGGGACUGUGUGUGAUUAGCUGGUGGGAGGGGCAACGGCCCACUAGGGUGAUGAUCGGUAGCCGGUCUGGGAGGAUGACCGACCAAAUUGGGACUGGGGGACGGCCCAGACUCCUACAGGAGGCAGCAAUGGGGGUUCUUCCGCAAUGGACGAAAGACUGACUGAUCAACGCCGCGUGAGUGAUGACGGCCUUCGGGUUGUGAAGCUCUGUUAAUCGGGACGCGGUACCGGAAUAGAAAGCCACGGCUAACUACGUGCCAGCAGCCGCGGUAAUUC